rnacentral:lncRNA from 1 species
CCUCACAGAGCCGGUGGCACGGGGCCCACGUUCCUCUGCAGCCAUGGCUGGAGGAGCACGGGGAGCAUGGCGGCGCCUGCCCAGGGCUGUGCCCUGUCCCCAGACAUCUCCCGGGGGCACUCACCCUGCUGCCUGCCCUUACCCUUCAGCAGCGCACAGUUGUAGGUGCUGUGCGUGGUAUGGGAGCGGAGAUGGAUGAUGCUUCUGCUGAAGUAACUCAUGACAUUGGUGACCUUGAAGACCUCAUAGGGUGGGAUGAGGAUUUCAUCCUCAGUAGGGUAAAAGGAGAAAUGCUUGAUGGGGACACCGUAGCAGGUGUACACAAUGAAGAAGGUGUCCUGGCCAAAUUUCUGGGCAGCAUUCUUCUGGAGGGAGGCAGAGGCGAACUGGCCGAAGCGGACGGUCUGGUGGCGGUGGGCCGUAAAGUGGAUGCCCUUGACGCCACGGUAGACGUUGUAGCAUCUGUGGCCCUGGGCAUUCCGCAGAGUGUGCAGGGCCUCGGUCAGGAGGAAAUGCAUUGUCUUAAAGGGGAAGGAUUGGAGGUAGUACCCGCGGGAGCGCCCACCCUCGCGCACAGCUGCGUUGAACUGGCUGUAGAGGCCUGUAUUAGCAGUGUACGCCAGCACGGCCACCGCGUAUUCCCUCCGCAGCACCUGCGGGUGGAUGGAGUUGCCCCAUUGCUUCCGCCACCUCUCGUCUGCUCUUCUCCAGGUGUCUGCAUAAAUGUGGUUUUUGAAUUCCGCGUGGUGCAGUUUCUUCAGCGCAACCUCCAUCUUGUAUCUGCAACCCCGGUACUGGUCAUCGAAGGAGUUCUGGGCCAUGCCCAUUGCCAACUUCUUUAUGGGGCUGAGGUCUUGCUCACGGGUGCUUCUGGCGGCCAAGGUGCCAGCCAAGGUGCCGGCCAGCAGCACCCAGCCCAGGCCGAGGUGCUCCAUGUGCAGGAAGCUCCGGGGGUCCAGCCACGAGCGGGGAUGCCCCAGGCAGCGCAGGACCCGGUCCUCUGCAACCGGCUGAGCUCAGCCGCUGAGUGCAGCAGUACAGGGCACGGGCGUCUGCUAGGGGGAGAGCGCAGGGUCGGAGAAGGCUGCAGGGAGAAGCGGAGCAGAUGCAUCAGGGGCACCUCCAAAGCCGCCCAUGGCCCCCCCUGGCACCAGAGGGAAGCACCCCCAGUGUGUGUCCCCAGCCACGGCCACC